GUCCCGUUGGUCUAGUGGGAGGACGCCUGGUUCUCAACCAGGAGAUCACCGGUUCGAGUCCGGUACGGGAUG
rnacentral:tRNA from 1 species